rnacentral:rRNA from 1 species
UACGUAGGGUGCAAGCGUUAAUCGGAAUUACUGGGCGUAAAGCGUGCGCAGGCGGUUGUGCAAGACAGUUGUGAAAUCCCCGGGCUUAACCUGGGAAUUGCAUCUGUGACUGCACGGCUAGAGUGUGUCAGAGGGGGGUAGAAUUCCACGUGUAGCAGUGAAAUGCGUAGAGAUGCGGAGGAACACCGAUGGCGAAGGCAGCCCCCUGGGCUAACACUGACGCUCAGGCACGAAAGCGUGGGGAGCAAACAGG